rnacentral:tRNA from 1 species
GGGCGGUUAGCUCAGUGGCAGAGCGACUCGUUUACACCGAGUAGGCCGGAAGUUCAAUCCUUCCACCGCCCA